GAGGCACUGCCUGCCCAGUGACACAUGUUUAACGGCCGCGGUACCCUGACCGUGCAAAGGUAGCAUAAUCACUUGUUCUCUAAAUAGGGACUUGCAUGAAUGGCCACACGAGGGUUUAACUGUCUCUUACUUUUAAUCAGUGAAAUUGACCUAUCCGUGAAGAGGCGGAUAUAGCUAAAUAAGACGAGAAGACCCUAUGGAGCUUCAAUUCAAUAAUACAAACAAAUGUUUUAAAUACCCACAGGCACUAACCCACUGUCAAUGUAUUAUAAAUUUUGGUUGGGGUGACCUCGGAGCAUAGCACAACCUCCGAAAAGCAUUACACCAAGACCUCACUAGUCUAAGUAAUUUACACUCAUUGACCCAAUAACUUGAUCAACGGACCAAGUUACCCUAGGGAUAACAGCGCAAUCCUAUUUUAGAGUUCAUAUCGACAAUAGGGUUUACGACCUCGAUGUUGGAUCAAGACAUCCUAAUGGUGUAGCCGCUAUUAAAGGUUCGUUUGUUCAACGAUUAAAGUCUUACGUGAUAUGGAGCCUACUUCACAAAGCGCUCCCGCAAAUCAAAUGAUUAUAAUCUUAAUUUCACAAAAUACUAUCCCUGCCCAAGAACAGGGCUU
rnacentral:rRNA from 1 species